AAGAGUAUAAAGGUUUGGUCAUAGCCUUAUUAUUAACUGUUUCUCAACUUACACAUGCAAGUCUCAGCACUCCAGUGAGAACGCCCUUUAAACCUUUACUAGGAAAAGGAGCCGGUAUCAGGCACAAACAAUUGCCCAUGACACCUAGUCUCACCACACCCACAAGGGUUAUCAGCAGUGAUAAACAUUGUUUAUAAGCGAUAGCUUGACUCAGUUAGAGAAAAGAGAGCCGGCCAACCCGGUGCCAGCCGCCGCGGCUACACCACGGGGCCCAAGUUAAUUACUACCGGCGUUAAGCGUGAUUAAAGUCCUAACAGAUUAAGGUUGAAUUAAGACUUAGUAGUUAUAAGCCUGUUAUUAAGAAAAACAAAAACGAAAGUUACCCUAAUUAGUAUACUUGAAUACACGACAGCUAAGAAUAC
rnacentral:rRNA from 1 species